UACGGGGGGAGCAAGCGUUGUUCGGAUUUACUGGGUUUAAAGGGCGCGUAGGCGGCCAUUCAAGUCAGGGGUGAAAGCCCAAGGCUCAACCUUGGAAUUGCCUUUGAUACUGUUUGGCUUGAGACCGGAAGAGGUCGGCGGAACUGCGAGUGUAGAGGUGAAAUUCGUAGAUAUUCGCAAGAACACCAGUGGCGAAGGCGGCCGACUGGUCCGGUUCUGACGCUGAGGCGCGAAAGCGUGGGGAGCAAACAGG
rnacentral:rRNA from 1 species